GUCAUGGAUGGGCAUGCGGCGCAUUAGGUAGUUGGUGGGGCAACGGCCCACCAAGCCGACGAUGCGUAGGGGUUCUGAGAGGAAGGUCCCCCACAUUGGAACUGAGACACGGUCCAAACUCCUACGGGAGGCAGCAGUGAGGAAUAUUGGUCAAUGGCCGGAAGGCUGAACCAGCCAAGUCGCGUGAGGGAAUAAGGCCCUACGGGUCGUAAACCUCUUUUGCCAGGGAGCAAUGCCGUCCACGUGUGGACGGAAGGAGAGUACCUGGAGAAAAAGCAUCGGCUAACUCCGUGCCAGCAGCCGCGGUAAUACGGAGGAUGCGAGCGUUAUCCGGAUUUAUUGGGUUUAAAGGGUGCGUAGGCGGCCUGCCAAGUCAGCGGUAAAAUUGCGGGGCUCAACCCCGUACAGCCGUUGAAACUGCCGGGCUCGAGUGGGCGAGAAGUAUGCGGAAUGCGUGGUGUAGCGGUGAAAUGCAUAGAUAUCACGCAGAACCCCGAUUGCGAAGGCAGCAUACCGGCGCCCGACUGACGCUGAGGCACGAAAGUGCGGGGAUCAAACAGGAUUAGAUACCCUGGUAGUCCGCACAGUAAACGAUGAAUGCUAGCUGUCCGGGGGGAUUGACCCCUGG
rnacentral:rRNA from 1 species